rnacentral:rRNA from 1 species
CCUACGGGGGGCAGCAGUGGGGAAUAUUGGACAAUGGGGGGAACCCUGAUCCAGCCAUGCCGCGUGUGUGAAGAAGGCCCUCGGGUUGUAAAGCACUUUCAGUGAGGAAGAACGCCUGGUGGUUAAUACCCAUCAGGAAAGACAUCACUCACAGAAGAAGCACCGGCUAACUCCGUGCCAGCAGCCGCGGUAAUACGGAGGGUGCGAGCGUUAAUCGGAAUUACUGUGCGUAAAGCGCGCGUAGGUGGCUUGAUAAGCCGGUUGUGAAAGCCCCGGGCUCAACCUGGGAACGGCAUCCGGAACUGUCAAGCUAGAGUGCAGGAGAGGAAGGUAGAAUUCCCGGUGUAGCGGUGAAAUGCGUAGAGAUCGGGAGGAAUACCAGUGGCGAAGGCGGCCUUCUGGACUGACACUGACACUGAGGUGCGAAAGCGUGGGUAGCAAACAGGAUUAGAUACCCUUGUAGUC